GGUUCAGAUCCCAUUAAUUAAUCAAUUAAUUAAUCUAUCUCAUUAAUUAAUCCAGAUGUUUUGUGUGAGCGUUAUCACUUGACACUGAAUUGCAUUUGCCAUUUGAAGCCCAUUCCUCCAGUUGGGAAAAUUUUUUUGCAGUUUCUUACAGUCCCUUUUGACUUUACCACCCUGAAGAUUUGAUAUUAACUGCCAAUAUAGCCACUUCACUAUCAGCCCUCCAGAUCACUAGUAUGUCCGUUUGCACCUAUUCUGUUUUUUUAACAAGUUAUGUGAGAAUAUAUAAAAAUACAGGAGCCCAUUUUCUUCUUCUGGUUUGAGAUCUAGGGGGAAAAUAAUAAUUUUUUUUCCUCCUAAUUUUGUACCUAAUUUUAGUAAGGAAGCCAUGUAUUCAGCAGUAGACAAUCACUGCAAAGAGGAAGUCUCAGUUGCUAUAUUAAUUGAAUUCCACAGCUGAAAUGACUAACUAUUAGGUAUAUAUGAAAGCACAAUAAUUCAGCUGCAAUACAUACUGCAGAAGAAUGGAAAAAAAUGCAAAAGUUAAUUCAAUCAUUUUAAAUGCAUUAAAACAGACUUACUACAAAUAAUCAACAUUUUUAAGAUACUAUAUCCUUAUCUAAAAUGUGGAUAGCUGCUUACAACAAUUAAGCAAAGGAACAAUAUAGUGAGACAUGGCACAUUUUCUAGUUUUAAAAUUCAAUGCUGUCAUCUCUGUAUCUCCUGGCCAAACCUAUUUUUUUCCAAUGAAAAGAAAAUUACAGUCUGUGUUUGUUGACACAGAAAAAAUGCCUCUGUGUGUGUGUGUGUCUGGAAUGAGAGAGAGAGAGAGAGAGGUCUCUUUCCUUUUCCUUUAUAAAUGGGUUUAAAAUAGGCCAUCAAACAUUGAUUUUAAAUUUUGGAAUAGGUUUAAAAGUAUCCUUGUGUAUAAAACAGCUAAGCUGUCUUAAAACAAUGUGAUUCAGUGUGCUGUGAAAUUGCAUCCACAGGUCUAUAAAACUGAUUUCAAAGAGCUGAAUUUCUUUGCAAAUUAAAAAAAAAAAAGACAAAACCCCAACCCAAACUCUUUAAGCCAUUCUGGAGUUAGUCAUUUAAGCCAAUUCCUGUGCAAGCUUUCUCUGAUGCAGUAAAAGAGACAGUUUGCUUAGAGGCUGUAGCUGAUUUAUAGUACAAUGACCAAUGGCAUAGUUAGGGCUGUUCUUCUGGGGGCGGGGGUGUCCUUUUGUAUUUUGUUUUUGUGUUUGUUGCAACAACACCCUGGCAAAGUCUCAGGAGUCGUCAAAAGAUGUGAGUGAUUCUGGUUGCUUCUGGGAUGUUCCAAAUGGUUCAAACAAACCCGUUCACAGGGACGCAUGGCCAAGUGUGUUCCAAGGAACGAGGGGAAAAACAAAGAUUGCUCUGAAGUAAUUUCCCUGCACUGAAUCCAGCCAUCCGGUUUCACUCUUUCUUCAUUGAAUGGUCAGAAUGCAACAGGAAGAGCAAGGCUGAAAGAGAACAACCGGCCAAAUGUACUGGCAGAGGGAGCUGCAAGAGACGGCAGGGGCAGCUUGAUGCAAAACGACCAUUCUUUACUCUUGGAAGGGAAUGAAUGAUAAAUGUUCGCGUCCCUGAGGUAAUAAAUGUGUCUUGCUUGCAGGGCCAGGGCCAAGUUCCUAGGACACCUGCGAAGACAGGAGAGGCUUUAUAGGUCCAAGCAAUCUCUUUAUUGGAAACAGACGGGAUGUAGCGGAUAGAGAGGAUACUGUUUGCCAUUUGCCUCAUUCCUUCACUGCUGCUGGCUCAACCUUCUUAUCUAUUUAUGCAGCAGCCAUGCCUGCUGCCCUUCCGCAUAAAACACCAUUCAGGGAGCUGGGGAGAGAGGGAGAGCACCAUUGGCUGCAGAAGAGAAAUACAAGAUCUGCAUUUAUUCCUGGCUGCCCCAGGAUCAGUCUGUUGAAGACAGAAGUAGGGGACCUGCAGCAUUCCAGAUGUUCCUGGACUAUAACUUCAAGCUCCCCUGCCAACAAAGCUAAUGAAAAAGGAGGCUCAGAUUGCAGUAAAAUCUGCUUGGGAGGAGGGGGUGUCCCAGUUUUCUACCACUAGUUUAAGGGUUACUUUACCCCAUUAUUAGAGAACUUGAGCUGAGGCCUAGCUGGAAAUCCCACCUUGGAUGCAGACAGUGUCAUUCCUGAUCCCUUAACAAUGUUAGUCUGCAGUGGCACAAAACAGCCUGUCAGACCACAUAGGAUGACUGGAAAGCCUGGCUAACUCUAGAGAUUGAGGAAGGUGACCUGGACGGAGAUAUGCAGGAACUGUUACCUGGGCAAAAAGGCCCGAGCAGUCCUUAAAUUCAAAAUGAUGCCUCCCCAAUUCACUGGAGUGUAAGAAGGAGAAGGUAGAGCACAGGCUUGCAAGAUUCUGCAUGUAUAGCAGUUUCAAUAAAAGCAGUUUUAACCUUCCUGUGGAGUUCGUUUCCUGGUCUGGUCUACUUAGCGGGGCUGACCCCAACCCUGCUGUCCUUUGCAGCUAGUCUUACAGGCACUUCUCUUUAGGACUCCAGCCAAACGCUCAAUAUCAGACUACAGCUGGGGUCACCAGGAUAGAGCACUCCAUGUAGGGGUGUCCACAGGGUAUGGUCAAAACAAUCAAGAUGGCAGGUGGCCAUGGCAGUGUCACCGAAACUGCCUGCUCACACAACGCACAUAAACAGGCAGAGCAUUAAUCACACUGUCAUGGGUGCCCUCUUGACUUUUUGGAUCAUACCCCACAGAUACCUCUGACUCUAUGCAUAAAAGCAAGGAAGAAGGCAACACACCUGCAGCGGAGCGUGAUGACUCCCAACUAGACUGAACUCUGGGGAGCAGUUGCUGGAGAACAUAAGCUCUCCUUCUCAGCCCAUGUUACUGAACUAUAAGGAACAGACAGGAUUUAAUACUGGGAUGCGACCAGGAUUGUCAGCUGGUAACUACUGUCUUUGCUGAAGUUACGGAAAAGGAAUGUCAGCUUCUUCCAAAGCGCACAGAUGGUUUUUCAAGAAUUCAUGGCUGUCCAUAGCCCAGAGUCUUCUUUCACCCAGAUGUGUUGCAAAGUUGUUCAAAAUUCUUCAUGAUGAACUUCAUGGUGUGGUUAAAAAAAGAGAGAGAAAGAAAACGCAGCUUAAAGAAUGACUCUGUACAGUGCUCAAGCAUCGCUUGCUAUAGCUGAAUCCAAGAAAAAUAAAUAGGGACAAAUACUUUUUGAGAUCAAUGGUGUUCUUGAAAAUUAUUUCUCACAGUUGCAGGUGACACCCUUAACAAAUCCCCAGGAGCAGAUGAGAAAUGUAUGGGCUGUUAAUAAACUGUAACUAAUCAAUGAAUGCUGCCGGAUUGUGCUCAAGCUGCUUGGGGCCACCCGUCCUUGGGAGA